GGGGCGGUGGCCGAGCGGUCGAUGGCAGCGGACUCUAAAUCCGAUCGGGGAGAUGAUGUGGUGCCCGAGAAGCCCUCUCCCUCGCGGGUUCAAACCCCGCCCGCCCCGCCA
rnacentral:tRNA from 1 species